UGGUUAAUCAAAAGACUCUAAGCAUUGACACGUUUGUAAGGCACGUGGGAUUGUAGUUAGAUGUAGGUCAAGUUCUGAACCUAAUCCAAUCCAGAACCUCCGUGCGUGCCACAAACGUUCGUUGUUCUUCCGUACUGGCUUCAUUUUCAAGCACAAAAACCUACAAACCCUAACCCUAACCCUAAUUCUCUAUCCAAUCAUGGCCACCGACGGCCACGACUCUCGACGCAAGCAUCGCCGAUCAUCCUCUCCGGACGACCACGACAAAUCCUCAAAGCGUCAUAAGCACCGCCACCAUCAUAGCCACCGCCAUCGCCAUGGCAGCAAAAAACGCGAUGAAGAGAUUCAAUACGAUGGCGAAAUUGUUGCCGCGGUUCCUUCUCCAAGCCCCCCUUCCGAUCCUGCUCCACGUAGUCACCUCCCUGACGAUGACGUCGAGGAGGGAGAGAUUCUCGAUGACGAGCCUUUGGGCGGUGAGGUGGGAAAGAAGCAGAUUGAAUCUGAUGUUGAAUCUGGGGAAAUUGAGGUGAAAGGAGAUCGAGAUCUCCGAUCUGAGAAGAAAAAUCCGGGACUUCUAGCUAAAAGUUUGAAAAUUGAAAGUGAGGACUUCCACAAUGAUAGAUUUAUUAGUCCUCCUUCUGAUGUAGAAGAUGAAAAGUGGCGUCAGAGGCACAUUGAAUCUCGAAGUCAUGAAGAUGAUGAUGAUUCUCCAAACCAUUCAAGAGCUGGGAGGAAUGUUCGAGCUAGUCAUGAUGCUUUGGGCAAUGGGUAUUUGGAUGUUAAGUCUUCUAAAGGGGAUAAGUGGCAGAAUGGGGAGUUUGGACAUUUUAAAGGAAAUGAGAUACUAAAAGGUGACUAUAAUGAUGAAGCACUGGAGGCUAAUAGAAAGGAAGAAAAUUCCCACAGGAAUGCCUCUGAAAGUGGAGAAGAAAAACAUAGAAUGCCAGGGAAUUCUCCUUUGCAUGAUGGAUACAGAAGUCGAUCAAGAUCAAUUGGCCAUACAAGAGACAGGUCUCCUUCUCGCAGUGCUGUAGAAGAGUAUGUCCAUCCCAAUAGCAGGCACUCCAGGGAAAAGGGUUCCCUUUAUUAUACUAGCAGACAUAAGACUGACUAUGACCUUGAUGAGGAAAGAGUGAGUGCAUACAGAAGGGAGCAUCGUCACGGCAGUAAGGAUUUGGUGGAGGGUGAUAAACAGGAACACAGUACCAGGUAUCAAAGUCGGGAGGCCCGGGAUAGGGAUAGAGCUACCUACAGGAGUAGGGACAGAGAUGUGGAUAGAGACUUGCACAGAGAAAAGAAGGGAGAGGAAACAAAUAACUAUAAGGAAGUUGAUUGGAUGCGUAGAAGGGAGAAAGAACGUGGAAGGAGCCACGAUAGACCUAGAAGGGACAUUGAAAAAGAUAGGAGCAGGGAAAGAGAUGAGGGUAGGGAUAGGAGAAGAGAAAAGGAAAGAGAUAGGAGCAGAGACACAGUUUAUGAGAGGGAUAGGAGAAGGGAAAUGGAAAGAGAUAUGAGCAAGGACAGAACAAGGGGUGGUGAGAGAGAUAGAGACUGGAAGAGUGAAUGGGAUUAUAGGAACCGGGAAAGGGAUAGCAUUAAGGAGAGGGAGAGACGAGAUGAUAGAUAUCGACACAAUGACAAAGAUGCUCCUUAUGGUAAAGAUAAGCAUAUGCGUCGCGAGGAUGGCAAUGACAGUGGAGAUAGAUAUAAGAAACAUUCAAGAUAUGAAGAAAAUGGACACCACACAGAUAGAAAGAGGAACUAUACCAUGGAAGAGGAUGGAAGGAAACUAAAAGGUGAGAUUGAACAAGACGAUGUAGACGAGGAUACAUUGCAACUACCCGAGCAAGAAGAGGAAGAUCUGAACAGAAUAAAAGAGGAGAGUAGAAGAAGACGGGAAGCAAUAAUGGAAAAAUACAAAAAGCAGAAUCAGAAAAUUGAACAAGCAGCUGGAAAUGAAGGAAAAGGCAAGGAUGUGGAGAUUCAUACUGACAUUUUUAAAGCAGUUGAUGGUAAGAGUGAUGAUGUUGAUAAUGUGGAACCAUCAUUUUCUGUUGGGAAAUCUCCACCGGAAAAUGUAAAUGUCAGAUCAGAGAAGGUACCUGGUGCUGGGGGCCUAGGCGAGGGUACUCCUAAGAGUGAGAGGUCAGCUGACAAGUAUUGUGAUGAUAUAUUUGGUGAGACACCAACUGGAGUUCGGAAAUCGGGAAAAGGAGAUGGAUUAUUAAUUGAAAGGGUUGGCCUGCAUGACAACUGGGAUGAUGCAGAGGGCUAUUACAGUUAUCGUUUUGGUGAAAUACUUGAUGGCCGAUAUGAAGUAACUGCUGCACACGGGAAGGGUGUCUUUUCAACAGUUGUACGAGCUAAGAAUCUAAAAACUGGUAAUGGUGAGCCAGAUGAAGUAGCAAUAAAAAUUAUUCGUAAUAAUGACACCAUGUACAAGGCUGGUUUGGAUGAGUUGGUCAUUUUAAAGAAAUUAGUAGGUGCAGAUCCGGAUGAUAAGCGUCACUGUGUUCGUUUCCUUUCAAGCUUUAAGUAUAGAAAUCAUCUAUGUUUAGUUUUUGAAUCUCUAAAUAUGAAUCUGCGUGAAGUUUUAAAGAAGUUUGGUCGCAAUAUUGGCCUUAGGCUAACUGCUGUGAGGGCAUAUGCAAAACAGCUUUUUAUUGCACUGAAGCAUCUCCGUAACUGUGGUGUUCUGCACUGUGAUAUAAAGCCUGACAAUAUGUUGGUGAAUGAAGCCAAAAAUGUUUUAAAGCUUUGUGAUUUUGGGAAUGCCAUGUUUGCUGGUAAAAAUGAAGUUACACCGUAUCUCGUGAGUCGCUUUUAUCGUGCCCCUGAAAUAAUUCUUGGAUUGCAGUAUGAUCAUCCAUUGGAUAUUUGGUCUGUAGGCUGUUGUUUGUAUGAACUGUAUACAGGGAAGGUUCUUUUUCCAGGGCUCACAAACAACGACAUGCUACGGCUUCACAUGGAAUUGAAGGGCCCCUUUCCAAAAAAGAUGCUCCGAAAGGGAGCAUUUACUGAACAACAUUAUGACCAGGACCUGAGUUUUCAUUCCACAGAGGAGGAUCCUGUAACAAAAAAGACCAUAAAGCGGAUGAUUCUUAACAUAAAGGCGAAAGAUAUAGGAACGAUCAUCACUGGCUCUCCUGGGGAGGAUCCAAAAAUGUUGGCCAAUUUUAAAGAUCUUCUAGAUAAAAUUUUUGUCUUGGAUCCGGACAAGAGAUUGACAGUCUCACAAGCACUGAACCACCCAUUUAUCACUGGCAAGUGACUGAUGUUGCAAAACUUGACUCUCGAAAUGAUAUUUGUACAUAUUUAUCCAAUUGAUAUUAAGGUUCUAAUCAUGUGGCACUAUUUAUCUUCUCUGUACGACCCAAGGAGUAUCAUCACAGUUGUCAGCCUGUCGAAGUGAAAAGUGUGAUGUCGCUAAAGGCGUACAUUUAACUGGCGGUUCUCUGUGGAAUGUACUGUUUCUAUUGAGACACCACGGGUUUGAGGCUUCCCUCCCAUGCUUAGAUGCAUAAAAGGAACCCAGGAGAAGGUAUCUUGGUUUGUUUAUUGGGAGAUUAAAUUUUCCGUUUUAAAAUGAAUGAUACUUUCCAUGUAACUUGGUUUAUAUUGGUUUGUUUACCAUGUGGGAAGGAAAUAUAUUAAGAUGAGACUGAAAGGCUCUUGUGUGAGUCAUGAGAAAAUUUGAGCUCAUCAAUUGUUUGUGUUUUAGCUAGGUGCAUAGACUAGGAUGAGUGGUUAGUCUUGAACCUACAUUUUCAUCUAGAUGCAGGUUCCAGUACUACACACAAAUGCCUAAUUGCCACUAUAUUGAAGAAAAUUCAGUAUUAGGGAAAUAUUUAACAAGAUCUCUGUUGUCUAGGCUUCUUCUUUCUUCUUAGUAAUGGCUAGAGUUGGGCAUAUAGGUAUCAAUUAUAUAGCUGUAAUUGAGCAUCUCUUUUUGUCUGAUGUCUUGUUUUCUUGUUAUUUUCUUAUGUUUACCUUUAUUUAUCCUAAUGGAUUAAUGUUGCAUUUUAUCCAUGGCGGUUCAAUGUGGAGGCAUUUCUAUUGGAUGUUUGGCUGUGUUCUUGAAGCAUUUCUUAUCUCGGUAAUGUAUCGUGCUCCUGCAAUUUUGGUGCUGUUUCUCACGUUCCAGGGAAGUUUAGUUGGGUGAUUGUUUUUGGGGACUCAUUUAAAGUUUGUGUGCUUGUUUUGAUUUCAAUUUCUACAUACAAGAACGUUAUGAAAGCAUGCCAUCUUUUUGUAUAUUUAUAGCAACAAUACAGGUGAGUAUCCGAGUCUGAGUUCCUUGCUUCCACAUCUUUGGCAUGAGAUUUUGGUAUGCUAGCAAAAAGUAUUCUGCCUGUCCAAACGUUGAAUAAAUGCACCUCCUUCAUUUCUGAUUACACUAACCUAUUAUUUAUCACAGGCCUCAAUAAAAAUUAUGGAGUCUUUUUCUGGACUAACAUACAUCUAAAUUGUUUUCAAUGAUUAUUCUUACAAUCCAAUGGGUUUCAAUAUAGGGGAUCUAUAAAUUUGAGAUUACUAAUUAUUUUUCCAAUCCAAUGGAUUUAAAUGAAGGGGCAUCUAUAAAUUUGAGAAUACUAACUUGGGAGCUAAAUUAUUGUUGGCUGCAUUUGCUUGCUUUCUUUAAUAUAAUUAACGCCCUUUUGCUGUCCUAAAGCAUAUUAUAGGAUGUACUCUAUCUGUUUUCUCAGAUUCAAAAUGAGUUCGUAGGAUUUGUUUUUAAAUAUCAUUUUUUUUUCAAUUGUAUCCUUCAAUAAUGAAUUAAAUUGUACAUUACUUCCCAUAUAUUAAUAAUGAAAUUUAGUAUUAUUAUAA